GUCAAGCUACAGCUCAUAUUUAUAGGUGCCGGUACACAAAAUAAGGCCAGUUCAUGGGAGAAAUGCAGAUUUAGUCUAACUUCUCUUCACCAGACAUCUGUCUGAAAUAAAGCGUUCUAGACGGUAGAUGAGGGUGUGUGAGCACACCCAUUCAGGAUAGGGUGGAACCAGGAUGUUGCCUGCCUGAGAAUGUGAAGCUGCUGCUUGGCAAAGCACACAACCCUUGGAGACAUGCCCAGAAAACUGAAGCACCCCAUAAAAGAACUAAAACAAACAAACAACAAAAAUGCAAGCAGAAAAGAGCUCUCAUAGUGGCUUCUUGGGCCAAAGGCAGGUUUGUUUUUUUGGUUUUUUUUCUUUUUUUAAUUUUGGCAUUCUCCUGGAAACAACACCCAAGGACAGAGAAGGUACUGCCUAUCUACCCAUGUACCCUUCGGCUGUUGCCCAUAGGACAGUUCCCUCACAAUCCUUGAUUUUUUUUAUUUUUUUUUUUCUGAUGAAGAGCAUUUGAGCUCAAAGCUUCAGUUUGAAAUCUGCCCUCAAGUUUCCAUUGCACCCACUUUCUUUGGAUGAGCUUGUCACCUCAGGAAUCAGCAGCAUCCUGUUGCAUCAAGUCAUCUGUUCCUUUCUUGUAGUCACACUUUAAAAGUCCCUGCAUUGCUCCAGUUCUCUUUAGUGUCUAUCCUGUGAUAUCCACAUAGAAAUGGCAGUGUAAACUUUAUCAUGAUGUAUGCUGACAACCUGGGACCAGGUUGAAUUUUGGCAGACAGGGCUAGGGAAAUACAAACAGUGCAUGUGACUCAUAGUGUGCCUCUUUACGGAUAGAAACCCAUCUCUGUCCCUGAGAUCAUCCUGAGUUUCUUCAGUUUCUUCAGCAUAUGAGGAGGGAGGCAAAGGGUGGAUGCAAAAGAAGAAGUCAAAAGAACAUGCAAGAUAUCUGUGGCAAAUUAUGGACAUGACUGCAGUACAGAGAUUAUUAGAUUCUAACUUGAAUCUGAAAUUGAAGGACACUGACUUGCAACACCAACCUGCAGAUGACAAAAUAACGAAGAAGCUGAGGACUGGCUGAUGACAUUUGUUCUGACAGUACCAAUAUGAGCCCAAGCACCACCUGCACAGAGUUAAGAUUGUUUCAAACAGAAUCCAGCUAAAAACAUGAGACCAUAGACCUGCCGAGGGGGGAGCACCGUACGACAGAGCAGACCCUGCCACGGGCAUUAAACUGUGCGGCGUUUCUUCUGACCAGCGACUCACAGGCAGCUCCUGAAAGACUGGGACUGAGCCCGGCACUGGUGACCGAUGCCCAAGGGGUGGACCUGACCCUGUGGUGCAGCUCCCGAGGGGCCCGGAUUGCCGUGGGGUUCCUGCCUGCUCGCUAGUGAUGCUCCACUGGGCAGGCGGGAGGAGGUCACGCCUGGGUGCAGGAGUGAAAGUCACGUUCAGGAAAGUGUGGACUGAAUGAAGGACACGGUAAGCUUCCAGCAAUGUGGCAGGUUGAUGGAUAGUGAAGAUGGUGAUGGUGGGGAGAAUGUGAAGCAAAGGAUUGUCAUCCUUAUACGUGAAGCAGAACAUGGGGAUUAAAGCAAAGACUUUUUGAGUGAGCAGUCUGGGACAAUUGGUAUGCUUACAAAAAAGAGCAGGCUAAUGUGAUUCAGAGUAGUCAGAGAAGACAAUUUACAGACCUGCCUCUUUUGAAUGCUGCAGAAAGAAGAAAAGCCUUAUGGCAAGUUGGAGCAGCCUGUGAAGUGUAGCAGGGUAAAUAACUCCUUGCAAGUAGCAGUCGAAACAAAAACAGGAUCAACAGCUGCUCUGCCCAGCUCACAACUCAUCCUGCCUACUCCAGGUUGAGCUCCAGGCUGAUCUCUUGCUUUGGAAGAAAAUGCUAACAGUUUGAUCAAUUGAGAUUGCUGGACAGCAUCUCUUGCAGACAGACAAGCAUUUCAGGAACCAGUAGCAAUUAUGGAAUGGCCAUAAUAUGGCAGUUAUUUCUCAUCAUCAAUAUGGAUGUACACUGUUUUUAGGUAUCUGGAUGUAUUCCUGAUGAAGAUUCAUCUUUCAGUCACUACAGUCCAGUAAUUCUUCUGGUUUGAUAACAUUAUUUUUCUCAACAUUAUUUAUUGAUUUUUGCCCUUACAUUUGUUUCCAACAACUCUGUCUAGGAAUACUAUAGCAAAAAUACCAGUUUCAUCAGCAAAUAAAGUAUUCAUGCAUUUCACACUGGAUCAUUUUUUUUGUUUAGUUUUACACAGAGAGGAAACUGAGACAAUCAUGGAUAUAUGCUGGGGAUAAACAUAACUACCACACUUUUUUUCAGAAGAAUAUUGAGAUUAAAUUAGGAUUAUUGCAGAAAAAGGACUUGACUUUUUUUACUGGUGCCUAUGGGAAAUGCUAAUCACCUACAUGCUUCAGUGAACCAGCAUAUGUGUGAUAGCUCUUGGUUAAUUCCAGUUGUUCCCUCUGCAGUUUAAUCUGCUCCAGCCAAAAACAGAAUCCAAGCCCAUGUGCACAAUUUCCACAGUAACAGCUACAACAAAUCAGACAUGGUAACAUUUGUGUUGCAGGAUUCUUUAUCUGGUGGAAAGGGGAAAUAUCAGAGAGAAAGGCCAUAUCAUUCUCCAAUUGGACAAUUACUUGGCUGGUAUGAGGCUAAUGCUCCCUGCAUGACCAGCAGAUCUACAAUCAGUGCAGUCAGAGAUUUCUUAAUAUCUGGGAUAAAAUCCUAGCUAUCAAAGUGAGAAAAUUUUCUGUCCUAAA